UAGGGAAUUUUCGGCAAUGGGGGGAACCCUGACCGAGCAACGCCGCGUGAGUGAAGAAGGUUUUCGGAUCGUAAAGCUCUGUUGUUAAGGAAGAACGAGUGUGAGAAUGGAAAGUUCAUGCUGUGACGGUACUUAACCAGAAAGGGACGGCUAACUACGUGCCAGCAGCCGCGGUAAUAUGUGGGUCCCGAGCGUUGUCCGGAUUUAUUGGGCGUAAAGCGAGCGCAGGCGGUUAGAAAAGUCUGAAGUGAAAGGCAGUGGCUCAACCAUUGUAGGCUUUGGAAACUGUUUAACUUGAGUGCAGAAGAGGAGAGUGGAAUUCCAUGUGUAGCGGUGAAAUGCGUAGAUAUAUGGAGGAACACCGGUGGCGAAAGCGGCUCUCUGGUCUGUAACUGACGCUGAGGCUCGAAAGCGUGGGGAGCGAACAGG
rnacentral:rRNA from 1 species